UACGGAGGUUGCGAGCGUUGUUCGGAAUAACUGGGCGUAAAGGGAGCGCAGGCGGUUCGACAAGUCUAAAGUGGAAGCCCGGGGCUUAACCUCGGAAGUGCUUUGGAUACUAUCGGACUUGAGUUCGUGAUAGGAAAGCGGAAUUCCAGGUGUAGCGGUGAAAUGCGUAGAUAUCUGGAGGAACACCGGUGGCGAAAGCGGCUUUCUGGCGCGAUACUGACGCUGAGGCUCGAAAGCAUGGGGAG
rnacentral:rRNA from 1 species